rfam:Camelus ferus unplaced genomic scaffold scaffold954, whole genome shotgun sequence.
GAGGGUAUAGCUCAAGUGGCAAAGCACAUGCUUAGCAUGCAUGAGGUCCUGGGUUCAAUCCCCAGUACCUCCU